rnacentral:rRNA from 1 species
UACGUAGGGGGCAAGCGUUGUCCGGAUUUAUUGGGCGUAAAGAGCGUGUAGGCGGUUUGGUAGGUCCGUUGUGAAAACUCGAGGCUCAACCUCGAGACGCCGAUGGAAACCAUCAGACUAGAGUCCGGAAGAGGAGAGUGGAAUUCCUGGUGUAGCGGUGAAAUGCGCAGAUAUCGGGAGGAACACCGGUGGCGAAGGCGGUUCUCUGGGCAUUACCUGACGCUGAGGAGCGAAAGUGUGGGGAGCGAACAGG